rnacentral:rRNA from 1 species
GUUGGCUUAGAAGCAGCCACUCAUUUAAAGAGUGCGUAAUAGCUCACUAGUCGAGAGAUCCUGCGCCGAAAAUGUACCGGGGCUAAACUUACCACCGAAGCUACGGAUUUGCAAGUAAUUGCAAGUGGUAGGGGAGCGUCGUAAUCGGGCUGAAGUCGUACCGGAAGGAGCGGUGGACUGAUUACGAGUGAGAAUGUUGGCAUUAGUAGCGAGAUGUAGGUGAGAAUCCUACAGGCCGAAUAUCUAAGGUUUCCUCAGGAAGGCUCGUCCGCUGAGGGUUAGUCGGGACCUAAGCCGAGGCCGAAAGGCGUAGGCGAUGGACAAUCGGUUGAUAUUCCGAUACCACUACCAUCGUUAUUAUCGAGGGUGUGACGGAGAAGGAUAGUGUGUGCUAGCGAUUGGAAAUGCUAGUCUAAGCGUUUAGGGAGUUACGGUAGGCAAAUCCGCUGUAACAAUUCUGAGGCGUGAUGGGGAAGGUCAUUAAGACCGAAGUACAUGAUUCCAUGCUUCCAAGAAAAGCAUCUAGAGAGAGAAGUAGUGCCCGUACCGCAAACCGACACAGGUAGAUGAGGAGAGAAUCCUAAGGCCGGCGGAAGAAUUGCAGUUAAGGAACUAGGCAAAUUGACCCCGUAAGUUCGCGAGAAGGGGUGCCUGCGAGAGCAGGCCGCAGAGAAUAGGCCCAAGCAACUGUUUAGCAAAAACACAGGUCUCUGCUAAAGCGUAAGCUGAUGUAUAGGGGCUGACGCCUGCCCGGUGCUGGAAGGUUAAGGGGAACACUUAGCGCAAGCGAAGGUGUGAACUUAAGCCCCAGUAAACGGCGGCCGUAACUAUAACGGUCCUAAGGUAGCGAAAUUCCUUGUCAGGUAAGUUCUGACCCGCACGAAUGGCGUAAUGAUUUGGGCACUGUCUCAACAGCCCGCCCGGCGAAAUUGUAGUACUGGUGAAGAUGCCAGUUACCCGCAACUAGACGGAAAGACCCCAUGGAGCUUUACUGCAGCUUAAUACUGAAAUUCGGUAGUACAUGUACAGGAUAGGUGGGAGACUGAGAAAUACAGGCGUCAGCUUGUAUGGAGUCGCUGUUGGGAUACCACUCUUGUACUGCUGGGUUUCUAACCUGCGGCCGUGAAUCCGGUCGGGGGACACUGUUAGGCGGGCAGUUUGACUGGGGCGGUCGCCUCCCAAAAGGUAACGGAGGCGCUCAAAGGUUCGUUCAGCACGGACGGAAAUCGUGCAAUGAGUGUAAACGCAUAAACGAGCCUAACUGCGACACCGACGGGUGGAGCAGUAACGAAAGUUGGAGUUAGUGAUCCGGUGGUAUGUGAGUGGAAAUGCCAUCGCUCAACGGAUAAAAGUUACCCUGGGGAUAACAGGCUGAUCUCCCCCAAGAGUCCACAUCGACGGGGAGGUU